rnacentral:tRNA from 1 species
CGCCGGGCUCAUAACCCGGA